rnacentral:rRNA from 1 species
UGGGGAAUUUUGGACAAUGGGCGAAAGCCUGAUCCAGCAAUGCCGCGUGUGUGAAGAAGGCCUUCGGGUUGUAAAGCACUUUUGUCCGGAAAGAAAUCCUUGGCUCUAAUACAGUCGGGGGAUGACGGUACCGGAAGAAUAAGCACCGGCUAACUACGUGCCAGCAGCCGCGGUAAUACGUAGGGUGCAAGCGUUAAUCGGAAUUACUGGGCGUAAAGCGUGCGCAGGCGGUUUGCUAAGACCGAUGUGAAAUCCCCGGGCUCAACCUGGGAACUGCAUUGGUGACUGGCGGGCUAGAGUAUGGCAGAGGGGGGUAGAAUUCCACGUGUAGCAGUGAAAUGCGUAGAGAUGUGGAGGAAUACCGAUGGCGAAGGCAGCCCCCUGGGCCAAUACUGACGCUCAUGCACGAAAGCGUGGGGGAGCAAACAGGAUUAGAUACCCUGGUAGUCCACGCCCUAAACGAUGUCAACUAGUUGUUGGGGAUUCAUUUCCUUAGUAACGUAGCUAACGCGUGAAGUUGACCGCCU